UUGUGUUUUGUGAGAUGUCCUUUUUAUGUAGGAAUUAGGACUGAAGUGUGACUCGUGAAGAGCUCUGGCUCCACCUGCUGCUCCACUGCAGACCUCCGCCACACUGACAAACACGUAGACUCUCACAGAUCUAGACUUGAAUCAUUUCUACGGUUUUAGUUGUUUAGUCCAUGGAGGCUCUGAAGUGACGGCGUCAUUUCUAGGUUCAAUCAAGCAAAGAAAGGCACACGGUUAUGACCACAACAUAUGUCAUUGCAGAAGUGCAUCUACAGAGCUGCAGAGAAAUAUGAAGAGGCAUCUCUGUGCGAACGCUUUGAUAAAGUAGCUGUUGUUCUACAGUGAUGCAUGGAUCGGUGUCUGGAGACCUCACCAGGAAAACUGCUAAAAAUCUACAGUCGGUUGGAGUGUGCCAGCAGCUGGAAUGGCAUUAAGCCACUUCUGUUACCUUGGAUGACUGGGCUUCAUUCACUGGAUCCGAUGACAGAAGCGGCACAGAAGAGAUAAAGUCAUCUGCCUUCUCUUCCAGGCUGAGGACAGACAAUAAACUGAAUGAGCACUCUCAUGAACAUAAUGCGCUUCCAGUCUUUUUUCCUGACUGAAUCUUCAAGCUGCUAUACAUGUUAAAACAAUGGUGGCUGUAGCUGUAGAUGGAAAUGUUUUCAUUCCUCAUUCCUGACCGAAAGAAAAAAAACUAUUCAGAUCAU